rnacentral:lncRNA from 1 species
GCGGAAGAUGACGCAAGCGCAGGUGCCAAUGGCGACACGAAUGUUGACGCGAGAGAGAUAGGGGCGAGCAGCGAAAUCUCACCAACAUUCGAGUGUGACGAUGUUUGAAAAUGUUGGUGGGUUCUGAAGUGCGAUGAGGAUACUGACAAUGAAGAGAGAAUAUGAAACACAAUGUGGGAACAUAGAAUAAGAUGAACAAAGAAGAUGAGUGAUGAUUAUCAUUUCUCCCAAAGAGAGAAGAUGAAGCUCAACAUGGAAAAAAAGUAAAAAAAAAAUGGAUAACUAUUAGAUUAAUUCCUUCUAUAACCAAUUUAGUAGUAGUUUUUAACUUUUUUUUUAAAUUAAUAUAUUGUUGGAGUGCAAACAAAGUCCCACAUUGAGUAGAAGAAGGGUUGGUCAAGGGUUUAUAUACACAUA